GCCUCCAAGCUCUUUUCCCACCUCACGCAAUCAUCUCAGCCUGACGAAGAGGUGCCGUCAUUAUCCCCCCCUCAGCGGCAGGCUUAAGUGACCUGCUCGGUUCACGGGGUGCCGCCCAGCACCUCCACAGCCUACUGGACGGCCUGGGGCCUGAGUACCAUCCCCCACUUGGGGAAGAGGCAGGCCCAGGUGAUCCUGGUGACAGCAGGUGCUGUGGAGGGCCAAGCCAAGCCAAGGUGGCGGUGAGUUCUGGGCUGUCUUCACCAAGAUGUGCUGAUGAAAGGAGAGGAAGCAAGAAGGGCAACCGCUUUCGACGAAAUCCUGACUGAGAGAGAAGACACACAGAUGGGGCUUCAGAGCCCAACGUAGACUUAACCCUGAGAUCAAGAGCUGAGCUGAGAUCGAGUCAGACACCCAACCAAGCCAUCCAGGCAGCCCAUUAAAAAAAAAAUUAAGUAGGCUCCAUGGCCCAACGUGGGGCUCAGACUCACGGCCCUGAGAUCAAGAGUCAUGUGUUCUACUGACUGAGCCAGCCGGCUGUCCCUUGGGAUCAAUUUUGUUAACAACCAGGGCGGCAGAGCAAGCGGGUGUGGGAGCGGAAUGUGCUGGCAGGAGUGUGGGGAGGAGCAAGAGGACCCUGGUGACGAGGGCGGAGGGUGGAAAAGGUGGCAGAAGAUGGGAGCAUGGCCAUUACCCCUUUGCUUACUGGGGGCGUGGGACAGUUUGUGACUAGGGUGUGGCUGCCAAGUACGAACAAUACUGAAAAUGUACUGGAAUGAUGAAUGAUGACAGGGUGGCAUGAACUUGUUUAGAAGCUGGGAAUGCAGGUAACUUUUGUCUUGGGUUGAUUUCAGUGUACUUUUUUCAGAGAUGCAAAACAAAACAAAACAAAACCAAAAAAACAAACAAAACCAAAAAAACAACCCCAAAAGUAUCACUCAGUAAAGUUGCAAACGGCAGACAGGACAGACCAGAUCAUGACCUCAGCCGAAACCGAGUCGGACGCUGAAACGACGGAGUCACCCAGGCGCCCCUAGCCCAUGUUUCAUUAAAAUAAUUUUUUUU